rnacentral:lncRNA from 1 species
AUCUUAUCUCCCCAUGGCACCCAGGGAUUGCCCCAACCUCUUGAUACCGAAAAGUCCUCCUCCCACAGGCCCUGCUGGUUCACUCUGUUCCUGAGUGCAACCUUCAUCUGGUCCUGCAUGCCUUGCACUAUCUUCCUCACAGGGGCUGUGAGAAUAUAUUAGCCCUGAGCUAACACGUGCCGGGCAAUCCUCCUCUUUUUUGCUGAGGAAGCCUGGCCCUGAGCGAACAUCCAUGCUCAUCUUCCUCUAGUUUAUAUGUGGGACGCCUACGACAGCAUGGCUUGCCAAGCAGUGCCAUGUUUGCAUCCGGGAUCGGAACCGGCGAACCCCGGGCCGUCAAAGCUGAACAUGUGAACUUAACCACUGCACCACCGGGCCGGCCCCUUUAACAAAUAUUUAUCGAGAAUCUACCAUGUGCCAGUCACUAUAUACAACAAACAGACUCUGUGUCGGCCUUUUGGUGUUUAACUGCAGGUUGGGACCUUACCUGGACCUCUCAACUAGAACACCUACACAGCAUGGAGGCUGGAUUCUGAGGAAGAGCAUCCUGAAAGAGAGAGUCAGCUGGAAGCUGUGUCACCAUUUCUACACCCUCCUGGGAAGUCACACAAAGGAUGCUUCCUUUCUGAUGCGUUCUGUUGGCUAGAAGCAAGUCACUAAAGGAAAAGGGAAUUACACUCCAACUUUUGAUAGAAGACUGUCAAAGAUUUUUCAUAUGUUUUAAAACUACCACUUUCCAAUGGGAUACAAGUGGAACAAAGAAUAAGCAUAGGUUUUCUUUUGUAAUCAGAGAGACUGGUACACAUUAGUAGAAAUAAACAAGUGAAAGAAAGAAAUCUAAAUAUGUAUUAGAUUCUGAUGUGAGUGAAAGGCCAUUUCAAGACUGAAUACGUUGGUUGAUGUUUUGUGGUUCUGUGAACAUGGUCUUAUUAUUAUAUGCAUUUAGCGAUGUCAUUCAAUUAC